UAGUCCACGCCGUAAACGAUGUUCACUCGCUGUCUGCGAUACACAGUAGGCGGCUGAGCGAAAGCAUUAAGUGAACCACCUGGGGAGUACGAUCGCAAGGUUGAAACUCAAAGGAAUUGUACGGGGGCCCGCACAAGCGGAGGAACAUGUGGUUUAAUUCGAUUGAUACGCGAGGAACCUUACCUGGGCUUAAAUGUAUACUGUAUAGGAUGGAAACAUUCUUUCCCUUCGGGGCUGUUUACAAGGUGCUGCAUGGUUGCCGUCAGCUCGUGCCGUGAGGUGUCGGGUUAAGUCCCAUAACGAGCGCAACCCUUACCGUUAGUUGCCAUCAGGUCAAGCUGGGGGACUCUAGCGGGACUGCCACCGUAAGGUGAGAGGAAGGUGGGGAUGACGUUCAAAUCAGCACGGCCCUUAUGUCCAGGGCUUACGACACGUGUUACAAUGGUCGGUUACAAGGGCAGCUACCAGGUGACUGGAUGCCAAUCCCUAAGCCGAUCCCAGUUCGA
rnacentral:rRNA from 1 species